rfam:Triticum aestivum genome assembly, contig: Triticum_aestivum_CS42_TGACv1_scaffold_033044_1BL
CUAGUACUUCCUCCGUCCGAAAAUACUUGUCAUAUAAAUGGAUGUAUCUAGACAUAUUUUAGUUUUAGAUAUAUUCACUUUUAUCCAUUUAUGGACAAGUAAUUCCGGACAGAGGGAGUACUAC